AUUGAACGCUGGCGGCAUGCUUUACACAUGCAAGUCGAACGGUAACAGGCCGCAAGGUGCUGACGAGUGGCGAACGGGUGAGUAAUGCAUCGGAACGUGCCCAGUCGUGGGGGAUAACGCAGCGAAAGCUGCGCUAAUACCGCAUACGAUCUAUGGAUGAAAGCGGGGGACCGUAAGGCCUCGCGCGAUUGGAGCGGCCGAUGUCAGAUUAGGUAGUUGGUGGGGUAAAGGCCUACCAAGCCAACGAUCUGUAGCUGGUCUGAGAGGACGACCAGCCACACUGGGACUGAGACACGGCCCAGACUCCUACGGGAGGCAGCAGUGGGGAAUUUUGGACAAUGGGCGCAAGCCUGAUCCAGCAAUGCCGCGUGCAGGAAGAAGGCCUUCGGGUUGUAAACUGCUUUUGUACGGAACGAAAAGGCUCUGGUUAAUACCUGGGGCUCAUGACGGUACCGUAAGAAUAAGCACCGGCUAACUACGUGCCAGCCGCCGCGGUAAUAC
rnacentral:rRNA from 1 species